rnacentral:rRNA from 1 species
AUACGAAGGGGGCUAGCGUUGUUCGGAAUUACUGGGCGUAAAGCGCGCGUAGGCGGACUGAUCAGUUGGGGGUGAAAUCCCAGGGCUUAACCCUGGAACUGCCUCCAAUACUGUCAGUCUUGAGUUCGGGAGAGGUGAGUGGAAUUCCUAGUGUAGAGGUGAAAUUCGUAGAUAGUAGGAAGAACACCAGUGGCGAAGGCGGCUCACUGGCCCGAUACUGACGCUGAGGCGCGAAAGCGUGGGGAGCAAACAGGAGUAGAAACCCUAGUAGUCC